rnacentral:rRNA from 1 species
AGCGGCGGACGGGUGAGUAACGCGUGGGUAACCUGCCUCAUACAGGGGGAUAACAGUUGGAAACGGCUGCUAAUACCGCAUACGCGCACAGUACCGCAUGGUACCGUGUGAAAAACUCCGGUGGUAUGAGAUGGACCCGCGUCUGAUUAGCUAGUUGGUGGGGUAACGGCCUACCAAGGCGACGAUCAGUAGCCGACCUGAGAGGGUGACCGGCCACAUUGGGACUGAGACACGGCCCAA